UACGAAGGGGGCUAGCGUUGUUCGGAUUUACUGGGCGUAAAGCGCGUGUAGGCGGGUCGUUAAGUUGGGGGUGAAAUCCCGGAGCUCAACUCCGGAACUGCCUUCAAAACUGGCGACCUGGACUCAAGUAGAGGCAAGUGGAAUUGCGAGUGUAGAGGUGAAAUUCGUAGAUAUUCGCAGGAACACCAGUGGCGAAGGCGACUUGCUGGACUUGUAGUGACGCUGAGACGCGAAAGCGUGGGGAGCAAACAGG
rnacentral:rRNA from 1 species